CCCGGCCCAGACCCACUCUGUUUCUUCUCCUGCCUCUCCCGAUUCCUCUGCACAUCGCUGCCGCCCCACCACCGGCCACCGCCGUCUCACCCACCCACCUUCUCUCCCUUGGCCGGAGGAUCAGCCCCUCCCCCUUCGCUCCCCCAACCUCGCUUCUCCGCUCCAUCCAUCCUAUCGCCGCAGAGCCGCACCAGCACUCCAACCUACAGGCGAUGGCGCCGGCGAGGUCAGAUCCGCACCACCACUCCGGCGAUGCCGUCGGCGAAUGGGGGACACGAACCUCAAUCAAUGUCUACGGGCACCGGACCGACGGAUGUUCGCCGGGCAGCUCUGCGACCUCGCGCUCUCCGGUGAUGAAUCAUCCGCCGCGGCACCGUCGUGCAGCUCGACGCGCACGGCAGAGGGCGGCUCCUCCCCAGCCUUGCCGCCUUCCUCCGCGCGGUUCUGCUCGGGUGACGAUGCGGUGCAGCUACGACGAGGACCGCCGACCAGGCGCCUUCAAAUCCUCAGCCCCAUGAAGCAAGCCCGAGGAGGAGGACAAGUUCCUGGGGUCCUCAUCGCCAUUGCAGGGGACUUUGGUUGCUCUGCUCUAGGGCCAGCAUAUUUGCACCAUGAUUGCUCACCGGGGAUCGCCCUCCACCAGGACAUCAAAGCCAGCAACAUCCCUACUGGACAGAUGCUUGGAGUCGUGCGUGUCUGGUUCUGGCCUCGCAAGGCUGGUGGUGGACAAUGAGACCCAUGUGCCCACUGUCAUGGCGGGUACCUAGCACCAGCUUUGGAGUGCUUUUGCUGGAACAGCAACAAGGGCAGCAGCAUCAUCCACUGACUGAACACGGUGACUGGGGAGGAGCGUCUGUAUGAGAUUGUGGACUAGAACACGGAGGUGGAGGGGAUUUUGAGAUCCUGCUUCCUCCGCCUCCAAAUCUUCGGUCGCCCCAGCAAGCAAGCUCCAGGAGAUACAGGCUUGGUUUUGCUCCUACUCUAGCUAGCUAUAUUUCUGUUACCUGAACUUUGCGUUCCUGCCACUCAUGGACGCUUAACUGAACCUCAACCUGGACCUGGGCUUUCUCUUUGUUUCAUUUUGAAUGCAUGCAUCAUGUGUGGGUGGCAGGAGAGCAACUUCCUUCUCAACGGAGGGGUAAGCCAGUUAGUCAUUCAUGUUCUGAACCAAAAAUAAAAACAUUUGGAACUUUGCUAAAGAAGUUGAUUUAUAUUCUCCUGGACAGUGAUCCUUCUUGAUAAUUGGGAUGGCACUCUAAUUUGGACAUGCCAGGAAGUUCAUACUUCACAAACAACAUAUCAGUGCAUCUUACACACCAUCGCUUAGUUUCACUUGCCAUGGCUCCCAACUGAUUACAGAUGUUGAUCGUUCACAUGAAGUGCUUACUAUAUUUGUGGGACACGUAGACUUGGGGCCCAGGCACAGACCCAGUAUCUCGUCCGCUGGUACCGGUUAUUUUGACCUUGUGAUCUUGCUUGCCGCAGAUCUGAUCCAUGUCUUCUCCAAGCUGCCGCGUGAUCUCAACUUCAUUGACCACACCAGCAACAUCCGAUGGAAGGAGUAGGUUUCAGAGGGCGAAGCCGGUCAUCAUCGAUCCGGGGCUCUACAUGGAGAAGGUGGACGUGCUCUAGAUACCACAGUGCCGGAGCGUGCCAACAGGCUUCAAGCUCUUCACCGGAGAGCUAGUUCCUCAAUUUCUUGGGGUUCAUGUGGAAUCGCUCUCUCAUGGGUCAUGGCGUCGGCCGCCAUCAUGGCCAUUGCGCUAGCAAACGGAGGGGGGGAAGUCGCUUGAUUGGCAUGACUUAGUUGGCAUCAUCACCCUACUUGUUAUCAAGCAUCUGCUUCGUCUACUGUGUUUUCAUCUCAAAGGCGCGUGUGGCCGCCGGCCAUGUAGGUUCGGCUCAGUCUUGCUGUAUUCGUCCAGCUCACCACUGUCACCGAUGGCUACAAACAUCAAAGGCAUGCAAACAUCCAUGUCCGUCUACGAUGGCUCGACGGACUACCUCCAACUGGCCCACUGGCUUGGCUUUCCUCUCAGCGCGAUGACAGCCGUUCGGCGGUGGUUGUCGCCCCCUUCCUUGUUUUUUAGAGAGACCUGAGUGCGUUUUUUGGGGAUGAUAGCUAAAGGUGGAAAAAACCUGGGAAGUUACAGGCUGGGAAGGAAGGAGGUUGAUACACGCCACAUGUACCAAGCUCUUAUCCAGCAGUCCUAUGCAUGUGUAACCGCGGCAGUGGUGGCCGCCUCGUCCUUGGUUCAGGAAGAAGCUGAAGCAGGCAGCUGUGCUUGAUGCAGCAGGACGGCCGCCUCGGCCUCGCAUGGCUUGGAGCGACGACGAGCUCCGGUGACCUUCCGAAGGCAAUGGCGACUACAAUGGGUACGGCUUUGGCGAUGGCUUUAACGACACCAACUAGCAGCCCCUGCUCUCCCCUGUUCUGUUAUGUCACUUAUGCUGUAUGUAUCCCUGUGAAAAGAAGCUACAUAUCUCUUCUUCCUAUGUUUAUUUGUUUGGGAUGCAUUGAGGUCUUGUAUGCCGUAGCAAUGAUGCUUUGUUGGGUGCUCGUUUUGUAUUGGAGUUGUUUGAGACGCAAGGUUGUGUUGAUUACACCAUUCAAACUUGAGAUUCCUCA